rnacentral:rRNA from 1 species
GACGAACGCUGGCGGCGUGCCUAAUACAUGCAAGUCGAGCGAAGUUUUUCUGGUGCUUGCACUAGAAAAACUUAGCGGCGAACGGGUGAGUAACACGUAAAGAACCUGCCUCAUAGACUGGGACAACUAUUGGAAACGAUAGCUAAUACCGGAUAACAGUAUUUCUCGCAUGAGAGAUAUUUAAAAGUUGGUUAUGCUAACACUAUGAGAUGGCUUUGCGGUGCAUUAGCUAGUUGGUGGGGUAAAGGCCCACCAAGGCGACGAUGCAUAGCCGACCUGAGAGGGUGAUCGGCCACACUGGGACUGAGACACGGCCCAGACUCCUACGGGAGGCAGCAGUAGGGAAUCUUCCGCAAUGGGCGAAAGCCUGACGGAGCAACGCCGCGUGAGUGAAGAAGGAUUUCGGUUCGUAAAGCUCUGUUGUUAGGG